GAAUUAACUCGUAGAAGUUUCUUCUCCAAUAAAUGUGCAAAAACUUUUAAACAAUAAAAACAAUCCAAUUGAGCAGAAAACAAAGCCUGCAAAAAUCAAAAGUAGGCUAUCUGUUUCGAAUGUCCAGAACACCAACUUAGUAAUACAACAGAGGCUCUCCAGCUCAAGCAGUUUCUCUUUCAUUAGGAGAGUUGCAUUGCAUUGCAUCGCAGGAACCAACCGCGAAAAAUCUUGCCUAUGAUAAAUGAAAAUCAUAUUGUUUGGCUAGCUCUAAAAUUGAAACAAGUACAUGUACAUGCAAAACAUAUAAAUUAAUAAUCCCCUAUAGACCUCUUUUCAAAUCAACAACGACAACGCUAACAUUAUCCGAACUGUGCCGAGCCAAAGCCAGCCUUGUCAAGAGGAUUGAUGCAUCAGUGCAAGCCUGGUCAGAGUUCUGCCCAGAUCGCAAGCACAUGCGAGCCACACCACAUGCUGUCUCGUUUGACACAACAUCCCAUAGCCCGUCGCUAGCUAAUAUCAAACACUCGUCUUCCACUGUUCUCUCCGUUAUGGUCACCUCCGGUUCAGAUGUAACAUACGGUUUCAAGUAACUGUCACCGAUUGCUCGAGACAUAGCCAAAACUCCAAGAACUCUCGCACCAUCCCAAUAGAUUACACGACCGCCAGCUUCUUCAAUCCGAUUGAGUUCAUCGGGUCGAUCAGGCUUAUGGUCAGUGGACAGAGGAAUUGGGACACCGUUUCUGCAGAGCACAGCGCGAGAAUCGCCGCAGUUGGACACGACGAUUUUGUUUGGAGUUAGGACGGCCACGACAGCAGUGGAUCCAACGGCAUCGCACUGCGGCGUCUGAAGUUCGCAUCUACAAUCCGCAGUUUGUGUACCUCCAGCUCCUUUCGAAUAUUCAACUACUUCUUUGUCCAUUUUUGAGAAGCUCUGAAUCAUCAUCUCUUUCCAUGUAGCUUCUCCUGCGCUCUCAACCUCGUUCUUCACUAUCUCAUGCAUUCUAUCUUUACAUUUCAUCGCCGCAUGAGAGCAGCCGUGGCCGUCGUAG
rnacentral:misc_RNA from 1 species